rnacentral:rRNA from 1 species
AGUAGGGAAUCUUCCACAAUGGACGAAAGUCUGAUGGAGCAACGCCGCGUGAGUGAAGAAGGAUUUCGGUUCGUAAAACUCUGUUGUAAGGGAAGAACAAGUACAGUAGUAACUGGCUGUACCUUGACGGUACCUUGUUAGAAAGCCACGGCUAACUACGUGCCAGCAGCCGCGGUAAUACGUAGGUGGCAAGCGUUGUCCGGAAUUAUUGGGCGUAAAGCGCGCGCAGGCGGUUUCUUAAGUCUGAUGUGAAAGCCCACGGCUCAACCGUGGAGGGUCAUUGGAAACUGGGGAACUUGAGUGCAGAAGAGGAAAGUGGAAUUCCAAGUGUAGCGGUGAAAUGCGUAGAGAUUUGGAGGAACACCAGUGGCGAAGGCGACUAUCUGGUCUGUAACUGACGCUGAGGCGCGAAAGCGUGGGGAGCAAACAGGAUUAGAUACCCGGG